rnacentral:tRNA from 1 species
GGGCGUGUGGUCUAGUGGUAUGAUACCCGCUUUAGGUGCGGGUGGCCCGGGGUUCAAUUCCCCGCUCGCCCC